rnacentral:rRNA from 1 species
UACGUAGGGUGCAAGCGUUAAUCGGAAUUACUGGGCGUAAAGCGUGCGCAGGCGGUUCGCUAAGACAGAUGUGAAAUCCCCGGGCUUAACCUGGGAACUGCAUUUGUGACUGGCGGGCUAGAGUAUGGCAGAGGGGGGUAGAAUUCCACGUGUAGCAGUGAAAUGCGUAGAGAUGUGGAGGAAUACCGAUGGCGAAGGCAGCCCCCUGGGCCAACACUGACGCUCAUGCACGAAAGCGUGGGGAGCAAACAGG